rnacentral:rRNA from 1 species
UGGGGAAUAUUGGACAAUGGGCGCAAGCCUGAUCCAGCCAUGCCGCGUGUGUGAAGAAGGCCUUUUGGUUGUAAAGCACUUUAAGCGAGGAGGAGGCUCCUUUAGUUAAUACCUAAAGAGAGUGGACGUUACUCGCAGAAUAAGCACCGGCUAACUCUGUGCCAGCAGCCGCGGUAAUACAGAGGGUGCGAGCGUUAAUCGGAUUUACUGGGCGUAAAGCGUGCGUAGGCGGCUUUUUAAGUCGGAUGUGAAAUCCCUGAGCUUAACUUAGGAAUUGCAUUCGAUACUGGAAAGCUAGAGUAUGGGAGAGGAUGGUAGAAUUCCAGGUGUAGCGGUGAAAUGCGUAGAGAUCUGGAGGAAUACCGAUGGCGAAGGCAGCCAUCUGGCCUAAUACUGACGCUGAGGUACGAAAGCAUGGGGAGCAAACAGG